UCACAAUCAUAUAUUCAUUAAGUCGAAAUAAUGUAUCCAUGCUUCAUUAUCUCACAAGUUUAGCAUAUACUCUCACAUGAAUUUACACACAUCAUAACUCAUAUAUAUAAUUCAAAUAAUGAUAAUUUGGCAUCUUGAGAUUAUGAAACAUAAAAGUAGACUCUAUCACCACACAUUGGAUUAACGAAUCUCCAACACACCAAUGACUCAAAGAGUCUAACAUAUCUCAAAAGUGUAACAUUAAGCUAAACACUUUCCAACACAUCAGCAUGUCUCGAUGAAUGGAGCUUAGCUCGACAUUCCCUUAUCUCUCCAACCUGUCCCAAAGUCUCAACGCCCAAAUUACAAAACAAAAAGGUGAGUACUCACAAUCCUAUGGCAUGCCAACUAUAUCCAACAGUUUCAAGAGAUCACAAGGCCAAAAUAUCCACAAUUACACAUAUUCAAUUACUGUCUUAAUGCACAUAACCUCUGUUCAAAUUCAUCAAUUCACACCACAAUCUCAUACACAAUUCAUGCUUAUAUGACUCACUUUUAAUUGCACUUUAAGUUUCAAAAUAAUUCUCAUUGAGAUAUCAUAUAUCAGAUCUCAUAUGUGUGUGUUAAAAAUAGUAUAUCACAUAUCACAAUCACAUAUUUUCACAUAUUACCUUCGUAAUAGCAUCACACAACACAACACAACCCAACUUACUUAGGUAUGACUUUUCAAAAAAAGCAACAAGUAUAGAAAAAAACAUACUCUUGAAACUUAGGAUAUGGGUUUAGGCUAAUCCUAAGCUCCCAAUUAAUACUACAAAUUGCGCAUACCAGCAAUGACACUGGAUACUCACCAAUCAUGCUUUCGCUUACUAGCCGCAAGCUCAAACAAGCUUUUCCUUGCCUUUUGACUUGCUAGUAGUGGCUCUCGAUUGGUUCGACACUUUGCACACACAACAAACACAUUCCAAACCCAUUAAAAAUAGCCUUGAACACAACCAAAUAGCAAGGAAAACACAAAUCAAGCCUCUUCUUUCUCACUAUCGAAAACUAACUAGUUUUUCUGAAAUUGAAGUUUCGACAUUCUAAUAUCGUUUCUAAUCCUCAAUUUCAAUUUUAAACAUCCCAAAUAUUAUUUAAUUUCAGUUCUAACCCAUUAAUUUUAACUAAAUCCAUGGUUUUGAAAAUUUCAAAAAUUUACGCUCUUAAGAACAUGUAAAAGAGGAAAAUGCUUGAUUCUUAAAAAUUCGGUAAGGACCUGUUAAAUUAAAGUGGAAUACCUUCUAAUUAAGUCAGAAUGAAUCAAAAAUUACUUCGAAAACACGAGUUUACUCAUGAUUUCUAGAUUUUCCAUUUUUUAAUCCAAGCUUGCUUUAAAAUUAUUAAAUCUAAAUAAAUCUUCAUACAAUAGUUUAAAACUCAAUUUGAAUUAACAACACUCUUUAUUUAAUCCUAAAAAGUCAAAAUAUUAUCUUAAUUUGUUGAAAACGACAAUCUAUAACUCUAAUUCAAGAUUUGAACACAAGAAGAACAAUGGCAAAAUUGGGGAAGAAAACAUGAUUUUCCUUUGAAAUUGGGGGUUAUUUUGGUGAUUGAGAGGUUAAUAAAUCCAAAAGAAUGGGUUAAUUUUGAAGGAACUCUCUAAUUUUAGGUUUAGGGAAAUUUUGAUGGUUUAGGUUAAAAGAGGAAAGAAGAAGACGAUGACAAUUCCUAGUAGAAGACUUUCGUCACUCCUUAUUUCUCCCCUUUUCCAAUUAGGUCCUAACUUAAUUAAAACACACUAUUUUCAACUUAAACUUCGUAAUUAAGUCCCAUUUUAGAUUAAUUAAUAAAAUAAAACCUAAUUAUAUUAUUUUAAUACUUUAAUUAAUUAUUUAUGACCCCAAUUUUAGUAUCUGUCUCAAACCCUUGAUUUAUUAACCUGAUUCUACUAACCUGAUUUUCGGGAUGUAGCACAAUCUCAUGUAAAAUGUUCAAAAUGCCCCUUAUAUGGAAAAAUUACAUAUUUACCCCUUUUUCUCUUAUUACUUUCCCUUCUCGCCUUAGAAGGCACUUUAACACAUCAAGUUUCAUAAGUCAUACUUAUUAUAUACUCAUGCAAAAAAUUAUAUUAAUGUCCUACCUUGAAAAAUGAUAAAAUUACAAUUUGACCUUUGUACUUUUUACUUUUAUUCAAUUCAAUCCCUCAUUUGGGAAUUUUUUUUCUCAAUUCCAUCACUCAAAACACAUAUACCCUGCCUUAUUUAUUUCAUUUAGCAUCUACUAAUGUAGCUUUUUCCUUUGAACUUUCAAAGUUUACACUUUAAUCUUUUUUUUACGGAUUUUCAUGUUCACGCUCAACCAUGCUAAUUCCCUUUCCAAAUAUAAAAUUAUUUCCAUAAGAACAUUCAUUUAAUAACUUAUUUCCAAGUUUUCCUCCAAAAUUCACUAUAUAUGUUCCCUGAUCACUACCAAUUACUAUAUUGGAAAUUUGAGGCGUUAGAGUCCACUUAAUGGAGUGCGUUGACAGAAUCAUUAUCACAAGCACUGUACCAUCUCUCAUAGAUAAUAUUGUCUCCUCACUUGCUAAAAGGUUCUCAAUUCAAGACUUUGGUUCCGUGAACCAUAUUAUGAGAGUUGAAGUUCUAUGACGGGUUGGUGAAAUCAUUCACACCCAAUCAACCUAUGUCAAGGACCUACUACCUGAAGAAAACAUUUUGAACUGAUGAUGGUACACCGCCAACAGAUGCAACUCAUUUUGAUCGUGUAUGUAAUAGCCCAUUUUUGCCCGGCCCAUUCAAAAUAAGACCAACCCAAAUACUCAUUGCACCAGUCCAAAAUAGACCCAAAUAAUAACAAGCCCAAUACAAACCCAAAUACAACACUGGCCCAAUACCUAGCCCUAAUAAUUUUCAGAGGUAGAAAGAAACCUUAGCAGCUAGCAGCAAAAUCAGCAGCCGCACCCCACGCACGUCGCAAUAACCAUCGCACGUUCUCCUUCCACGCCGCGCACAAUGCCCGUACCUGUAACAAAUAAACCACGAGCAACACUAAUAGGAUAGAUACAGCAAAUUGUAAACAGUUUUAGCUAUAAAAAGGCCAAUCAAUCUCUGUAACGGGGGUUAGACAAAUGUUGUAAAAAGCAUUGGAAAUACAAAAACAAAGAAUCAAAAGCAGUUUUUGGAAGGUGAUUUGUUUUUCUUCUCUUCGAGAUUUCUUCUCACUGUUUUCAUUUUUUGGUUUUUUUGAAAGAAUAAAAAGAAGAAUAAAGAAGGAAAUGGGCGCUUACCUGGGUUCGGGCGCUGGUUUCGAACGCCGUGUGCGGUGGCUCCACGGCGGCGACGGCAUGAAGGGGCUAAGGUCAAACCCUAGCAGAGAGCCACCUCUUUUUUUUCCCCUCUGCUGUUUCUAAAAAAGAAAAGAAGAUGAUGAAAUGAAAAUGUUUGUUUUUUUGAAAGAAAUUUUGGUUUUAAUACUAAAGUAAAACGGUGCCAUUUAAUGGCUAUGGAUCUGCGUGUUUUGGCCCUUGAUGGGCUAUUUGCGCGUUGGGUCUUCAGUUUUUAUGAAGUAUGUUUAAUUAUUUUUUAUAUAUUUGCAAUUUUAACUACAUGUUUUAUUUAUUUUUCAAUUCGGUCCAUGUUGCUGUGUAGUGUUUGGGAUGUUUGGGUAAAUUUCUCUUUGGGUCCUCCACUGUUGAUUGCGUGUUCUAAAUGGUCCAUUCGUAUUUUAUUUAUUUCAAAUUUGCCCCGAAUUUCUGUUUUAAGUUUAACUUAGUCUUUUUUGUUAUUAGUGCUAUUAAAUAAUUUAAUUUCAAUUGAAUUGUUAUUAUUAUUAUUAUUCUUAUAUUAUUAUUAUUAUUAUAUUUAUGCAUAUGCACGCAUAUGUUUUUUAUUUUUUAUAGUAUAUAUGUAUAUAUUCUAAAUUUCUUUAAAUGAAUACACAUACAUAUUCUAUUAUUAUUUUAUUUUCUUAGUUUUUACAUACAUAUACAUACAUACGUACAUACAUUAUUAUUUUAUAAUAUUUAUACAUUUUCCAUAUUUUUAUAAUCCUAUAUAUAUUUCUUUUAUAAUCUGCAUAUUUAUACAUUAUUCAAAAUUAUUAUAAAUAUAUUUUUCGCAUGUUUUUUGUGUAUAUAUUUUCAUAUUUUCAUAAUUUACUAACAUAUUAUACUUUUAUUUUAUUUUUUGUAAAUGUAUGAAUAUACCUUAUAUGUAUUUUAUUAUUGUUUUAUUUUCAUGACUUUUGUAUUCAUAUAUAUAUAUAUGCACCAAAAUUUUAUAAUACUUAUGCAUUUUUUAUCUCAUAUUCAUACACAUACUUGCAAAAUUCACUUAUAUAUCAUACUUAUAUAUACAUAUUUUGUAAACAUGUAUACAUAUAAUUUAAUUUAAAAUAUUUGUUUCAUAUCACAUCAAUAUUUUUUAACAUACCUUUUAAAAAAUAUACAUUUUGAUUUUGUCAAAACAUCUAAAUCAUUUUCUUUUGAUUCAAAGGCUUUUAAAAUAAAAGUGAUAUUCAAAGUUUAGGAUUUUCGAUGAAAUUGAGCCCUAACGUAUUGGGUUCUGAUUUUUUUUGCUAAUCCUAAGUAACCGAGAAUAUUCUCUAUUUAAAAUGCAUAAGUAUAAAAAUCAUUUUCGGGAACUUAAUUUGUGGUGUCCUAACGUAUUGGCCAUGACAUAUUGCUUUCUCGAAAUGAAGAUUUUCUUUAAAAACUAAAAAGCGAUAUUCAAAGUUCGAGGGUUUUGAGAAAUUGUGCCCUAACGUAUUGGGUCUCGAUUUCUUUAUUUAACUUGAACAAUUGAUUAUCCUUUUCAAGUUUCAUCAUUUGAAUUUUAAAAUAUUUUUAACCCUCGACAUUAAGACAUCAAAUAAUCAAUUUGGUACCGAUUUUUGGGUGUUACGAGGGUGCUAACCUUUCCUCGUGCGUAACUGACUCCCGAACCCAUUUUUUCAAAUUUCGUAGACCAGAAUCGUUUUUAAGGUGAGUCGAUCACACCUCAAUAAAGGAUCGGUGGCGACUCCAAUUCUUGUUUUUUAAAGUCGACAACUAAAAUUUUUGUUUUCAAAAAAAUGGUUUCGACAGCUUGGCGACUCCACUGGGGACCGGUUAGAGAGUCGAGCCAAAAAUUGAUUAAUUUUUGUCUUUUGGUCGAAAAGUCAAAAUUUGUAUUAAAAUUCAUGAUUUCCCCUUUGCAUUCAUGGGUUUCCAUCAUGAUAUGCUUGUUUAAUUGAUCUAAGUCUUUUAGUUUAUUUGCAUUUUGCAUUUCAUGGUCAAUUUUACCCCUCUAAGUGGGAGUGAGAAGCUACUCUUUCGUGAGGUUUUCACCUCCGUGCAGGAUAAUGGAUCGCUUUCGGGAUACAUCUGUACCUACGUCUUCUUGAGUUUUCAUCUCCAUGUAGCCAUAGGGAAAUGUAUUCCCCUGAACUGAACUCGGUCUAUAUGAGCCUAUAAUGGGUGAGGAUCGAGGAAUCUGCUGGUUCGGGUACCCUUGCUCUAGAAGCUAAACUUCAUAUAGUGAACCUUAGGAACUCACCCUAGGCAGAAUUACUCUAAACCUUAGUAGAUACCUGAUUAGUUGUUUUUAUUAUUUCUUUUAAUGUUUAUACCUGAUACAAACUUGUUGUGUUUUGUUUUGACUGCAUGACAUUUUGAUUGCAUUGCAUUUGCAUCAUAAAAAAAAGGCGUUGAAUCACGUUCAGUUGCUAAAUAGAGAGCUUGUCAUAAGAAAAUGGGUUUCUUGAUAAAGUGGAAGAUAAUACGGCUGCCUGAAUAUAUUUCGAGAAACACAAUAAGGGCGAUGGAAGAGUUUGUAACUUUACUUGGUGGCCCGAGGAUUCAAGAUGAUUGUCUAAGAGCUUUCAAUAUUCCAACUUCCUUAAAAAAGCUAAUGAGCAUUGCGAGGAUAGGUAGACAGUGGAUUGUGACCAGGAUCAAGCAAAAGGAGACAGAAGAGACACCAUUUUGAAGAAUUCACACGGUUUAUCUUAGCAUUCAGAUGAAGAAAGAGAAGAUGUCCUCGCUUGGAGUAUGAGGGCAAAGCCGUAUAUAUACCACUUUAUGUAAAGAAAUUUGUCUUUUAGUAAAGUUUUCUAAAUGUAAUUGAAUCAGAAUCAACGUCUCUUUAUGCAUUCAUUUCAUGCAUUUACAUUACAUUGCAUCAUAAACAUUUAAGUCCAUUAAAAGGGCCUAAUUGAGUAAAAUUAUUUCAGUUAAUUUGGAAAAUCGACACCCUUACGGCACCCAAACAAAGACUAGAGAAAUGGACCAAAGGUUUGAGAAAUUAGAGCGAAUGCAAAUACAGAUGCAAGAGCAACUGAUCGAAUUUCAACAUGAAAUGAGAGAUAUGAUAAUAGAAUUACAGAGAGCUAUGACGAAUCAGUUAACCCAGUUGCUAGCUGGAAAGUUAGAAAAAGGGAAAGACUCGGUGGUUCAUUAUGUGGUUGAAAAUGAGGAUCUUGCCUAUUCCCUAGGUUGUACUCCAAUAAAUGUCCAGGUCCAGCCAGAUAGGCGUCCACAAGAGGCACUCUUUACUAUUAGAUCCCAACAAUAUCAAACUGGCACAUCGACACCAGUGAGUUGCUUGACAGGCUUAGGAUCCAAUCUGAGGAACAAUUUAGCUAAUCCUAUUGCUAUUUAUAGCCUAGCAGAAGUAAAACAGGCGAGGGUAGAGUACUCAAAUACUAUAAGAGCCCCAAGGAAUAAGGGGAAUAAGGGGGAUAAUGAGGGCAGAUAUAACAAGGGCCACUCAAAACCAAUCAUUGUGGGCCGGCCAAGGAUAGAAAAUACUAGCCAUCCGGGCCUUUUAAAGCGAGAAUCUUGCACGAAGACAAGUACAGAAGGGUCUCAGUUCACGCCUAUACCGAUGUCAUAUAGCGAGCUAUAUGAGAGCCUAUUUAAUGCACACGUCGUUGCCCCUUUCCACUUAAAGCCUUUGCAACCUCCGUAUCCUAAAUGGUAUGAUGCAAAUGCUCAGUGUGAAUACCAUGCGGGAAUUGCGGGGCAUUCGAUAGAAAACUGCACUGCUUUCAAGAAGCUAGUUGAGAGGUUCAUCAAUAGGGGUAUUGUCAAGCUUGAUGACUCAUCUAAUAUGCUACCCAAUCAUGUUGAUAAUGGGGUAAGAGUGAGAGCAAGAAGGGGAUUAGUUAUUUCUGAUUCAAGAGGUAACCAUGGAAAGGUAUUGAACCAUCGUGAGUUCCAUCACGAGAAGGGAUACGAGACCCAAGAGAGUGUGGAACUCAAGACCUUGGUUCCGGGCAUGAUAGAUGACAAAGAGAUGGAGUUUUGUGAGGAAAUUAAAGAAGAGAGAAAUAUACACACAAUGUUGGAAAGUGUUCACAUCAAUGCCAUAUGUAAAGACACACUUGAAAAAAGGACCUUGUUAGAUAUCCACUCUUAUAAAUUUGGGAGUGUUCUAAAAUAAUUAGAUUGUAGAGGAAAUUUCUGUAGUUUUAGAGCUUACUCAGAGUAAUGUUCAGAACACUCUUAUCGCUUUUAGCCUAGAAGUGAUAAGAACACCUUUGUGAAAUAGGCUCAUGUUUGAACGUUAUUAUUUUAAUACAUCAUUGUGAUCAUUUUUUGAGCUAAUAUUCUUUUAUUCUUUACGAUUCUUUCAUUCUUUUAGAUUUUUCUUCUAAAUCAUUCUUUCAUUCAUUCAUAAUCAUAUUGUACAGAUAGUUCUUCAUAAAUUUAUACAUUCUUUUGUAUAUUCUUUGGUAUUUAUUGUGGGCCCCCAGAUAUCAAUGUCAUGAGUGACACUGCUACAGAUUUAGAAUCACCUUUUGAGUAAGACAUGUGUUUAGAGGGAUCUCAUGACUUUGAAGAUGACAUAGAUUGUAGCUUAUCUCCAGACUUGUUGAGGAUGGCAGAGCAAGAAGAGAACAAAUUUUACCUCUUGAAGAGACAAUGGAGAUUGUGACUUUAAGAGAACAUGCAUAACCGGAUAAACGAAGCAAGACCUUGUUAAGUUACUUCAAGAGUUCAAAGAUGUCUUCGUAUGGUUAUACCAGGAUAUGCCCAAGUUAAGCACUGAUAUUGUAAUCUGAGCAAUAGCACAACGUUAAAAAUUUGCAGUAUGUUCAAGAUUCACAUCAUGAACGAUGCAGUUAGAAUUCUUUACCGGGGCAAUACCUUCUUCUCUGACUUAUCCCGUUGAAGUCAAGUUGUCAUUUUUCCGUAUUUUUGUUGGAUUUCAUCCUAAUUUAAGAGAAAGAUCCAAAUUUUUUUCAUCUUAGUUAAAUUUCGCCCUAAAAGUCUCUAUGAGAGAAACCUGACUCCAAAGAAGAUUUUUCGCAUACAAAAUAAAAGUGGAAGAUCUUAUGGGGAAGACCUUAUCUAGAAUAAUAUUGAGUCUAAUCAAAAGGGAUGACCAGGAUUUGCCUAAUCCUAUGAAUGUAGAUUCAAUGCAAAAACAAAAACAAAAACAAAAGCAAAAACAAAAACAAAAAAAGGGAAAAAAGAGAAAAAAAUAACAAAAAAAACCUCCACCGGGGCAAUGCCUUUCUCUUUAGCUUAUCAUGGUUUUUCCAUUGAAGUUGAAAUUCUUUUUCUCUGGGUAUUGGCUGAGUUGAAGUAGGAUGAAGAUCCAAUCUCGAUACGAUCAGUUGAACUUAAUUGAAGGAAAAAGGCUAAAAGUUAUUCGUCACGGUCAGAUGUACCAAAAACGGAUGAUGCGAGCUUACAACAAAAAAGAGGUUCGUCCCAGAGAAUUUCACGAGGAAGACCUGGUAUUGAAAAAGAUCCUUCCUCUACAAAAGGAUUUUAGAGAAAAAUGAGUGCCAAAUUAGGAAUGUCCUUAUGUUGUAAAGAAGACAUUUUCUGGAGGAGCACUGAUUUUGAGUGAGAUAGAUAGUAAAAACUUGUCUAAUCAUGUAAACUAAGAAUCAGUCAAGAAAUACUUCGCUUAAAGAAGGAGAGGACCAAGGUAAAAACCCGCAAAGGGCACUUUGAGUCGCAAAAAAAAAAAGAAGAAAAAAGAUGUGAAAAAAUAAAAAUAGAAAAAUGAAAAAUGGAAAAAGUAAAAAUGGAGAGGCUAAGGUGAGAACUCGCAAAGGGUGCCUUAGACCAAAGGGGAUUUGAGUUGAAAACCCGAAAAGGGCGGCUCAAAUUUUGAUCAGAAUAGGGCUGGAAAUGAUCAGAGUGGCUCAGAUUUUGAUUGGAAUGGGGCAUGUGGUGGUCUUGAUAUACCUGAAUCAACAGGAAAGGGUAUGCGACAUCUUGGGGCAUCGACAGAGUAUUGUAGAUAUCCUAAACACAUGUCAAACUCAGAAUGGUCUUCAGGAAGUUUGUACAGAGAAGUUCAAGCUGCGUUAUCUGGGGCACCUAGUCUUCAUACUAUUUAUAUUAAAUUGCUUAUUCUUGGAAUACUUCAUUCUUUUUCAAGAUAUGAGUCAAUUCCUCUUUUAUUCUCAAUAUUCUUGAUAUAUUCAUUUCAAGCUAUGCUCUCAUAUCAAUUCUAUUUUAUCCAUUGUUUUGUUCUUUUGGUAAGCGUGUUGCAUUAGAAUAAUGAUUAAUGGACUAAUAAAACUUUCACAAGGGAAGUUUUACAUAUUACUCUAGAAGUUUCUAAAUAAUACAGGAACCUGAAACAGGUCUAUGUUUAGAAUACACCGGGUUUAAAGGUGGGAAAUCUAAGAAGGAAGAGUCUAAAUUAAGACUAUCUCUUUGGAUUUUGUUGUCAAAGGCAUAAAUUGAAUAAAAUGACAAGAUGUCGUGUUGGUGAUAAAGCUUCAUUGUGCAAAUAAGCAAUGAUCAUCAGGCAAUAGAAAGAGGUUACCUCGGAGAAGAGAGCCUUCAUUUUUGUAUGAGUCUUUGGUAUGACACCUUGGGAACGGUAUAAGGAACUAGAACGAUUUAGGUCCUGUAUCCUUGAAUUGUGAUAAUGAAGGAUUGAGGAAAUGCCACAUAUUUUUACCAUUGGGUUACGGUGGAAAAACGAUGGUACAAUUUUUGUAUCCCAGUGAAUUAAACUUUGAGGUUUACAGUGGGGGCAACCUGAUUAAAUGUUUCUUCUGAAACGCCAGCUAAGCAAGAAGGCGUUGUAGCACGUAAGAGAUAAAGCCUUAAUAAAAUUUGAGCAAUGAUAACCUAAGAAGGAUCAUUCUUGAAAAAAUAUAGAAUAAAAUUCUGCAUUCAUGCAAACACCAUUCACACCUGUCUAGUUAGGAGCACUGGAUUCAUUUUGAUCAUGCCAUUAGGCAUAAUUAGGUUCAUUAUACAGGUCAUGUUUUACAGAGAACAUAUCAGUGAAAAUGGCAGAUCUUGCCUUCCUGCAUAGACAGCGAAGCAGAUCAAAGAUGGCAGAUUUUACCUCCCUGAGGUUACAGUGGAGUAUAUUGAAGCCAGUAAUUCUAUCUCCCUGGGCAGCAGUGGAAUAGAUUGAAGAUUACAGAUCUUAUCUCCCUAGGCAUUAGUGGAGUAGAUCGAAGAUGGCAGAUUUUACCUCCCUGAGGUUACAGUGGAGUACAUUGAAGCCAGUAAUUCUAUCUCCCUGGGCAGCAGUGAAAUAGAUUGAAGAUUACAGAUCUUACCUCCCUAGGCAUUAGUGGAGUAGAUCGAAGAUGGCAGAUUUUACCUCCCUGAAGUUACAGUGGAGUACAUUGAAGCCUGUAAUUCUAUCUCCCUGGGCAGCAGUGGAAUAGAUUGAAGAUUACAGAUCUUAUCUCCCUAGGCAGUAGUGGAGUAGAUCAAAGAUGGCAGAUUUUACCUCCUUGAGGUUAUAGUGGAGUACAUUGAAGCCAGUAAUUCUAUCUCCCUGGUCAACAGUGGAAUCAAUCGAAGAAUAGCAGCUCUUAUCUCCCUAAGCAGUAGUGGAGUAGACUGACGAUGGCAGAUCUGGUUUCCCCGACAACGCAAUUAAAAAUAUCUAAGCCACAACGGUGGAUCUUACCUCCUUAGCGGUACAGUUGAACAGAUUGAAGCUACAACGGCGGAUCUUGAUUCUUCGACAUUGUAAUUGGAUAAAUUGAAGAAGAUAAUCCUAUUUCCCUGAAGUUGCAGUGGAGCGGAUUAACACCACGGAUCUUAUCUCUUUGAAAUUGCAGUAGAGCAGAUCGUAUCAGACUCAUCUUUGAAGUUGCAACAGAAUAAGUUGAAGUUACGACUCUUAUCUCCCUGAAGUUACGGUGGAGCAGUCUAGAGAUUGCAAGUUUUGUUCUUUUGAGAAGCUACAAGGUACAAGUCCUAUCUCAUUGAUGUUGCAGUGGGGUGGAUCGAAGCACCAAUGCCUAUACCUCUGAAGACGCAGAAGGUUAGAAUGAGGCUACUUGAAGAAGAAGAGUGCCAAGGUCCAGCGUGACCGGGCAAAAUUGGCUAUUUUAAAGUCUUUGCUCCGUUCCCGUUACACGACCACGAGCAAAGAGGGGCAGUUGUAAUAGCCCAUUUUUUCCCGGCCCAUUCAAAAUAAGACCAACCCAAAUACUCAUUGCACCAGUCCAAAAUAGACCCAAAUAAUAACAAGCCCAAUACAAACCCAAAUACAACACUGGCCCAAUACCUAGCCCUAACAAUUUUCAGAGGUAGAAAGAAACCUUAGCAGCUAGCAGUAAAAUCAGCAGCCGCACCCCACGCACGUCGCAAUAACCGUCGCACGUUCUCCUUCCACGCCGCGCACAAUGCCCGUACCUGUAACAAAUAAACCACGAGCAACACUAAUAGGAUAGAUACAUCAAAUUGUAAACAGUUUUAGCUAUAAAAAGGCCAAUCAAUCUCUGUAACGGGGGUUAGACAAAUGUUGUAAAAAGCACUGGAAAUACAAAAACAAAGAAUCAAAAGCAGUUUUUGGAAGGUGAUUUGUUUUUCUUCUCUUCGAGAUUUCUUCUCACUGUUUUCAUUUUUCGUUUUUUUGAAAGAAUAAAAAGAAGAAUAAAGAAUGAAAGGGGCGCUUACCUGGGUUCGGGCGCUGGUUUCGAACGCCGUGUGCGGUGGCUCCACGACGGCGGCGGCAUGAAGGGGCUAAGGUCGAACCCUAGCAGAGAGCCACCUCUUUUUUUUCCCCCUCUGUUGUUUCUAAAAAAGAAAAG
rnacentral:lncRNA from 1 species